rnacentral:rRNA from 1 species
AAGCCCCGGUAAACGGCGGCGGUAACUAUAACCGUCCUAAGGUAGCGAAAUUCCUUGUCGGGUAAGUUCCGACCUGCACGAAUGGCGUAACGACUUGGGCGCUGUCUCAACGAGGGAUCCGGUGAAAUUGUAGUCUCGGUGAAGAUGCCGAGUACCCGUGGCUGGACGGAAAGACCCCGUGAACCUUUACUGCAGCUUUGCGUUGAAGUUUGGUAUUCGUUGUCCAGGAUAGGUGGGAGACUGUGAACCGGGAACGCUAGUUUCCGCGGAGUCACCCUUGGGAUACCACCCUUCGUGUUCCGGGCUUCUAACCCGAUUCCGUUAUCCGGGUCGGGGACAGCGUGAGGUGGGCAGUUUGACUGGGGCGGUCGCCUCCUAAAAUGUAACGGAGGCGCGCAAAGGUUCCCUCAGCACGGUUGGAAAUCGUGCGUAGAGCGUAAAGGCAUAAGGGAGCUUGACUGCGAGACUGACAAGUCGAGCAGGGACGAAAGUCGGCCUUAGUGAUCCGGCGGUGGAGAGUGGAAUCGCCGUCGCUCAACGGAUAAAAGGUACUCCGGGGAUAACAGGCUCAUCCUUCCCAAGAGUCCACAUCGACGGAAGGGUUUGGCACCUCAAUAUCUGGGGUGGGUCGGCAGAGAUGCCGGCCACGUAUCGGCUAAUAACGGUGGAACCCACGCCUGAGAGCGUCGCUGAGACGUCUCCGUAAGUUGGGUAAUGCCGUGGGAAGUCCGCGGAAGCGAAGACCAUGAAGCAACAGAGCUUCCGAUCAGUGACCCCGUAACGACUGAGGCCUUCGGGCCGAGGUGGUGUCUCGCCUCUGAAUAGAGGCACUCUAUGAGCGCCACAACACGCCGACCCCUCGCCUUUGGUCAGGCAGGGUGAAGACAUAGUCUGCGCCGUCGGUAACGACGGAUACACGCGCGAUGUCGGCUCGUCGCAUCCUGGGGCUGAAGCAGGUCCCAAGGGUUGGGCUGUCCGCCCAUUAAAGCGGCACGCGAGCUGGGUUCAGAACGUCGUGAGACAGUUCGGUCCCUAUCCGCCAUGGGCGCUGGAGGUUUGAGAGGAGUCGUCUCUAGUACGAGAGGACCGAGAUGAACGGGCCUCUGGUGUAGCAGUUGUCCUGCCAAGGGCAUCGCUGCUUAGCCACGCCUGGAUGGGAUAACCGCUGAAAGCAUCUAAGCGGGAAGCCCACCUCAAGAUGAGACCUCCCAUCCCCUAGAGGGAGUAAGGGCCGUGGUAGACCACCACGUCGAUAGGCGGCACGUGCACGCGCAGCAAUGCGUUUAGCGGAGCCGUACUAAUUGCCCGAGGUCUUGAUUUU